UCUGUAGCAAGGUUAACCGUAUAGGGGAGCCGGAGGGAAACCGAGUCUUAACCGGGCGUUAAGUUGCAGGGUAUAGACCCGAAACCCGGUGAUCUAGCCAUGGGCAGGUUGAAGGUUGGGUAACACUAACUGGAGGACCGAACCGACUAAUGUUGAAAAAUUAGCGGAUGACCUGUGGCUGGGGGUGAAAGGCCAAUCAAACCGGGAGAUAGCUGGUUCUCCCCGAAAGCUAUUUAGGUAGCGCCUCGUGAAUUCAUCUCCGGGGGUAGAGCACUGUUUCGGCUAGGGGGCCAUCCCGGCUUACCAACCCGAUGCAAACUGCGAAUACCGGAGAAUGUUAUCACGGGAGACACACGGCGGGUGCUAACGUCCGUCGUGAAGAGGGAAACAACCCAGACCGCCAGCUAAGGUCCCAAAGUCAUGGUUAAGUGGGAAACGAUGUGGGAAGGCCCAGACAGCCAGGAUGUUGGCUUAGAAGCAGCCAUCAUUUAAAGAAAGCGUAAUAGCUCACUGGUCGAGUCGGCCUGCGCGGAAGAUGUAACGGGGCUAAACCAUGCACCGAAGCUGCGGCAGCGAACGUAUCACCCAAGACAACUUUACGGAGUUGACGAUUGACGGAGCGAAGCGACGUCAAAGCGUUCAUUAAAGUCGAGUUGGCUUAGGGAUACGUUCGUUGGGUAGGGGAGCGUUCUGUAAGCCUGUGAAGGUGUGUCGUGAGGCAUGCUGGAGGUAUCAGAAGUGCGAAUGCUGACAUAAGUAACGAUAAAGCGGGUGAAAAGCCCGCUCGCCGGAAGACCAAGGGUUCCUGUCCAACGUUAAUCGGGGCAGGGUGAGUCGACCCCUAAGGCGAGGCCGAAAGGCGUAGUCGAUGGGAAACGGGUUAAUAUUCCCGUACUUGGUGUUACUGCGAAGGGGGGACGGAGAAGGCUAUGUUGGCCGGGCGACGGUUGUCCCGGUUUAAGCGUGUAGGUGUGUGUUCCAGGUAAAUCCGGUU
rnacentral:rRNA from 1 species